ACGGAGCAUCAUCUGUAAUAUUCGUUUCCUGGAGUUUAUCAACCGACGUCCAUCUUAAAAUUCGCUGCUGCUCGUCUAUGGCAUUCAUUAUCGUUGAUUCGCUGCAUUGUUUCGCAAACGUCCAAAUUGGUGUUUGCAUACACUGACAAGAUCUUCCAGCUGCAUUGAAGGAUGCAGUAUUGCUAUGGAAACCAUUUGCACACAUCUUGAUCACCAUGUUGUUUCAAAAUGCUAUUGCUGACAAUCACUGGAAUUCCUAAUGGAUCUGUCUGAAACCUGAUUGGGUUUAUUGCAGUUAGACCAAUGGCAGAAUACAUUCAUGCACAAAAAGUUCCGGUUGAAAACUACAUACUGUAUGUGUGCGCCAGGAAGUAAGGAAACCGUUCAAUACAAGUGAUCUAUUGCUACCGAAGGUUUGGAAUUGCAACGUGAAACAGGGGGGAAAGUGUACCAUCCAACGAAAAUGAAAACAACUGUUAGACAUCCAAGGAGGAUUCCUGGUCGACUUGAGGAAAUUCGCAACGUUUGUAGAGCAGUUGCAGAUGGCACUGGGCUUUCUUAUGGAUUUUGAACGGAUUGCAUGCUUCGAAGAAGCGGUCGCUGUAUCUUUGCAUUGUUAAAUACCAAUUAUGGUAAUGUGACAGGAAUGUACUUAUUUAAUCGAGAAAUACAUAUAGCCUUGAAAAUCAA